AACAGGAUUAGAUACCCUGUAGUCCACGCCGUAAACGAUGUCGAUUGGAGGUUGUGCCCUUGAGGCGUGGCUUCCGGAGCUAACGCGUUAAGUCGACCGCCUGGGGAGUACGGCCGCAAGGUUAAAACUCAAAUGAAUUGACGGGGGCCCGCACAAGCGGUGGAGCAUGUGGUUUAAUUCGAUGCAACGCGAAGAACUUUACUUGGUCUUGACAUCCACGGAAGUUUUCAGAGAUGAGAAUGUGCCUUCGGGAACCGUGAGACAGGUGCUGCAUGGCUGUCGUCAGCUCGUGUUGUGAAAUGUUGGGUUAAGUCCCGCAAUGAGCGCAACCCUUAUCCUUUGUUGCCAGCGGUCCGGCCGGGAACUCAAAGGAGACUGCCAGUGAUAAACUGGAGGAAGGUGGGGAUGACGUCAAGUCAUCAUGGCCCUUACGACCAGGGCUACACACGUGCUACAAUGGCGCAUACAAAGAGAAGCGACCUCGCGAGAGCAAGUGGACCUCAUAAAGUGCGUCGUAGUCCGGAUUGGAGUCUGCAACUCGACUCCAUGAAGUCGGAAUCGUUAGUAAUCGUGGAUCAGAAUGCCACGGUGAAUACGUUCCCGGGCCUUGUACACACCGCCCGUCACACCAUGGGAGUGGGUUGCAAAAGAAGUAGGUAGCUUAACCUUCGGGAGGGCGCUUACCACUUUGUGAUUCAUGACUGGGGUGAAGUCGUAACAAGGUAACC
rnacentral:rRNA from 1 species